GAUGAACGCUGGCGGCGUGCCUAAUACAUGCAAGUCGAGCGAACAGACGAGGAGCUUGCUCCUCUGACGUUAGCGGCGGACGGGUGAGUAACACGUGGAUAACCUACCUAUAAGACUGGGAUAACUUCGGGAAACCGGAGCUAAUACCGGAUAAUAUCUUGAACCGCAUGGUUCAAUAGUGAAAGACGGUUUUGCUGUCACUUAUAGAUGGAUCCGCGCCGCAUUAGCUAGUUGGUAAGGUAACGGCUUACCAAGGCAACGAUGCGUAGCCGACCUGAGAGGGUGAUCGGCCACACUGGAACUGAGACACAGUCCAGACUCCUACGGGAGGCAGCAGUAGGGAAUCUUCCGCAAUGGGCGAAAGCCUGACGGAGCAACGCCGCGUGAGUGAUGAAGGUCUUCGGAUCGUAAAACUCUGUUAUUAGGGAAGAACAAAUGUGUAAGUAACUAUGCACGUCUUGACGGUACCUAAUCAGAAAGCCACGGCUAACUACGUG
rnacentral:rRNA from 1 species